GAUGAACGCUGGCGGCGUGCCUAAUACAUGCCAGUCGAGCGAACGGACGAGAAGCUUGCUUCUCUGAUGUUAGCGGCGGACGGGUGAGUAACACGUGGAUAACCUACCUAUAAGACUGGGAUAACUUCGGGAAACCGGAGCUAAUACCGGAUAAUAUUUUGAACCGCAUGGUUCAAAAGUGAAAGACGGUCUUGCUGUCACUUAUAGAUGGAUCCGCGCUGCAUUAGCUAGUUGGUAAGGUAACGGCUUACCAAGGCAACGAUGCAUAGCCGACGUGAGAGGGUGAUCGGCCACCUGAGAACGGGGACAGGGUCAAGGGGCCUAAGGGAGGCAGCAGUAGCGAAUGGUAGGCAAUGGGGGGAAGCCUGACGGAGCGACGCCGCGUGAGUGAUGAAGGUCUUCGGAUCGGAAAGCUCGGUUACUAGGGAAGAACAGAUGUGGAAGUAACUGUGGACAGCUUGACGGUACCGAAUCAGAAAGCAACGGCUAACUACGUG
rnacentral:rRNA from 1 species